GAUGAACGCUGGCGGCGUGCCUAAUACAUGCAAGUCGAGCGAACAGACGAGGAGCUUGCUCCUCUGACGUUAGCGGCGGACGGGUGAGUAACACGUGGAUAACCUACCUAUAAGACUGGGAUAACUUCGGGAAACCGGAGCUAAUACCGGAUAACAUGUUGAACCGCAUGGUUCAACAGUGAAAGACGGUUUUGCUGUCACUUAUAGAUGGAUCCGCGUCGCAUUAGCUAGUUGGUAAGGUAACGGCUUACCAAGGCAACGAUGCGUAGCCGACCUGAGAGGGUGAUCGGCCACACUGGAACUGAGACAGGGUCCAGACUCCUACGGGAGGCAGCAGUAGGGAAUCUUCCGCAAUGGGCGAAAGCCUGACGGAGCAACGCCGCGUGAGUGAAGAAGGUCUUCGGAUCGUAAAACUCUGUUAUUAGGGAAGAACAAAUGUGUAAGUAACUAUGCACGUCUUGACGGUACCUAAUCAGAAAGCCACGGCUAACUACGUG
rnacentral:rRNA from 1 species